rnacentral:rRNA from 8 species
CAUCCUCCAAGGCUAAAUACUCCUGACUGACCGAUAGUGAACCAGUACCGUGAGGGAAAGGCGAAAAGAACCCCGGCGAGGGGAGUGAAAAAGAACCUGAAACCGUGUACGUACAAGCAGUGGGAGCACCCUUUGGGGUGUGACUGCGUACCUUUUGUAUAAUGGGUCAGCGACUUAUAUUCUGUAGCAAGGUUAACCGAAUAGGGGAGCCGGAGGGAAACCGAGUCUUAAUUGGGCGUUAAGUUGCAGGGUAUAGACCCGAAACC